AAGGAUCAUUAUCGAUUCAACGAAGUGCUUGUGAAGUUGUGCUGGCCUCUCUCGAGGCAUGUGCACGCUUUAUGGGUCUUCACACACCCACACCUGUGAACCAACUGUAGGUCUUUCGGGACCUAUGUCUUCUCAUAACACACUGUAUGUCUAGAAUGUCAUUAUGAUUAUCGUCUGCUUCCUCUGUGGAGUUGGGCUGAUAAGAUAAACAAUA
rnacentral:misc_RNA from 1 species